rnacentral:rRNA from 1 species
AUUGAACGCUGGCGGCAGGCCUAACACAUGCAAGUCGAACGGCAACACACUUUGAGCUUGCUCUUACGGGCGGCGGGUGGAGUACUGGUGCGGAAUGCACCGGAAUCUACUUUUUCGUGCGGCAAAACGUAGGGUAACAUCCGCUGAUACCUCAUACGACCUACGGGGGACAACACGGGAACUUCUGGCCUUGCGCCUUUGAAUGAGCCGAUGUCGGAUUAGCUAGUUGGCGGGGUAAAGGCCCACCAAGCCGACGAUCCGUAGCUGGUCUGAGAGGACGACCAGCCACACUGGAACUGAGACACGGCCCAGACUCCUACGGGAGGCAGCAGUGGGGAAUAUUGGACAAUGGGCGCAAGCCUGAUCCAGCCAUGCCGCGUGCGUGAAGAAGGCCUUCGGGUUGUAAAGCCCUUUUGUUCGGAAAGAAAAGCAGCUGGCUAAUACCUCGCGGUGAUGACGGUACCCAAAGAAUAAGCACCGGCUAACUUCGUG